UACGGAGGAUCCGAGCGUUAUCCGGAUUUAUUGGGUUUAAAGGGCGCGUAGGCGGCUCAUGAAGGCUGUGGUGAAAGUCCGGGGCUCAACCUCGGAUCGGCCGUGGCGACUCGUGGGCUGGAGCACUGUAGAGGCGGGUGGAAUUCCGGGUGUAGCGGUGGAAUGCGUAGAGAUCCGGAAGAACACCAGUGGCGAAGGCGGCCCGCUGGGCAGUGGCUGACGCUGAGGCGCGACAGCGUGGGGAGCAAACAGG
rnacentral:rRNA from 1 species